AGCCACACGAUAUCUCUUGCGUGCAUUUUGUCUGAUUUACAUUUAGCCUCCUUUUCCGUAUCUGAUGCCGAAUCCGUUCUCCCACGAGUACAAAUUGUAAAAAUCGUACGCCUCUCCAAGCUUGUCAAAGCUCGUACCUAUUUUUGGCAAACUGCCUGAUUGUUUUCUCUAGGACUGAUAUCCUAUCAGGGCAUGGUGCUCUGCCCAGAGCAGCAGCUCCAACCCUCACCCUGCAAAACAAAUGACAUUUGGCACCGGUACAGAGGCACAUUUUAUUUUAAACCAUACAGAAUAAACACUUAUGUGAUAACACACUGAAUCUGUUCAUUUGUUCUGCUCAAACAACUUUUUGCCUGUCUUUUUACUGCAUUUUUGUUUAUGACAUGGCCAUACCAAAAAUCGCAUGACAACUACCGUGAGCACUUAAAUAUACUUAGUCUGUUUACUCAUCAUAGUUUAUUUAACCACGGAACCAUAUGAAUUAACCAUCAAAUUUUUCUCCACAGGCAUGGAAUGUUUGGAACAGGAACCAACAAGCAGCACGCAUACAGGACCCCAAGUCUACACUGUGUCUAUGCUUCAGACCCCAAGUCUACACUGUGUCUAUGCUUCAGACAUAUUCAUGCUGAAUAUUACUACCAGUGCUAUGUAAUUUCUCCUCACACAACACCGCCCUCCCCAAAAAAGGUAAUUUGUUAACUAUCUGACCUAACCAAAACUAAAAGUAGUUCAGAUCAUCUGUAUGUACCUUUUAGUCCAGCCAG
rnacentral:lncRNA from 1 species